AUUGAACGCUGGCGGCAUGCCUUACACAUGCAAGUCGAACGGUAACGCGGGGCAACCUGGGGACGAGUGGCGAACGGGUGAGUAAUGCAUCGGAACGUGCCUGGUAGUGGGGGAUAACUGCUCGAAAGAGCAGCUAAUACCGCAUACGACCUGAGGGUGAAAGGGGGGGAUCGCAAGACCUCUCGCUAUCAGAGCGGCCGAUGUCGGAUUAGCUAUUUGGUGGGGUAAAGGCCCACCAAGGCGACGAUCCGUAGCUGGUCUGAGAGGACGACCAGCCACACUGGGAUUGAGACACGGCCCAGGCUCCUACUGGAGGCAGCAGUGGGGAAUUUUGGACAAUGGACGCAAGUCUGAUCCAGCCAUGCUGCGUGCGGGAAGAAGGCCUUCGGGUUGUAAACCGCUUUCGUCAGGGAAGAAAGUAGCCCAACCUAAUACGUCGGGCUAUCGACUGUACCGGUGGAGGAAGCCACGGCUAACUCUGUGCCAGCAGCCGCCGUAAUAC
rnacentral:rRNA from 1 species